AGUGAACGCUGGCGGUAGGCCUAACACAUGCAAGUCGAACGGCAGCACAGUAAGAGCUUGCUCUUACGGGUGGCGAGUGGCGGACGGGUGAGGAAUACAUCGGAAUCUACUUUUUCGUGGGGGAUAACGUAGGGAAACUUACGCUAAUACAGCAUACGACCUACGGGUGAAAGCAGGGGAUCUUCGGACCUUGCGCGAUUGAAUGAGCCGAUGUCGGAUUAGCUAGUUGGCGGGGUAAAGGCCCACCAAGGCGACGAUCCGUAGCUGGUCUGAGAGGAUGAUCAGCCACACUGGAACUGAGACACGGUCCAGACUCCUACGGGAGGCAGCAGUGGGGAAUAUUAGACAAUGGGCGCAAGCCUGAUCCAGCCAUACCGCGUGUGUGGAGGAGGCCUUCGGGUUGUAAAGCCCUUUUGUUGGGAAAGAAAAGCAGCAGGUUAAUACCCCGCUGUUCUGACGGUACCCAAAGAAGAAGCACCGGCUAACUUCGUG
rnacentral:rRNA from 1 species